rnacentral:rRNA from 1 species
CCUACGGGAGGCAGCAGUGGGGAAUAUUGGACAAUGGGGGCAACCCUGAUCCAGCCAUGCCGCGUGAAUGAUGAAGGCCUUCGGGUUGUAAAGUUCUUUUGACAGGGAGGCGGUACCUGUAGAAUAAGCUCCGGCUAACUUCGUGCCAGCAGCCGCGGUAAUACGAAGGGAGCUAGCGUUGUUCGGAAUUACUGGGCGUAAAGGGCGCGUAGGCGGCUUGGCAAGUUGGGUGUGAAAGCCCAGGGCUCAACCCUGGAAUAGCACUCAAGACUGCCUUGCUUGAAUUCGGUAGAGGAUGGUGGAAUUCCCAGUGUAGAGGUGAAAUUCGUAGAGAUUGGGAAGAACACCCGUGGCGAAGGCGGCCAUCUGGACCGCUUGACGCUGAGGCGCGAAAGCGUGGGGAUCAAACAGGAUUAGAUACCCUUGUAGUC